rnacentral:tRNA from 1 species
AGAUGAAUAGCUUAGUGGCCUAAAGCAAUACCAACACUGUGCGCACAGUUGCGAGAAAAGACACUGGUUCGAAUCCAGUUUCAUCUA